UGAUGACCACAUGCUUACCCUCCAGU
rnacentral:piRNA from 1 species